rnacentral:rRNA from 1 species
UGCGUAGGCGGGAUAAUAAGUCAGUGGUGAAAUACUGCAGCUUAACUGUAGAACUGCCAUAGAUACUGUUAUUCUUGAGUAUAGUUGAGGUGGGCGGAAUGUGUCAUGUAGCGGUGAAAUGCUUAGAUAUGACACAGAACACCAAUUGCGUAGGCAGCUUGCUAAACUAUCACUGACGCUGAUGCACGAAAGCGUGGGGAGCGAACAGGAUUAGAUACCCUGGUAGUCC